UUAAGUGCCCAAAUCGACGGUCUCUCGAGAUGAGAGCGAACAGGGAACGCGGUACGGAAUUGCCCAAAUCCGCGGCUGCCCCCGCAACUGU
rnacentral:ncRNA from 1 species